GCAUGGUUCUUGGGACGAAAACAGGGCGGCGUAAGAAAAUAGCAACUGACCCCAUAGCAUCACCCUCGGGAACAUUUGUACCUGUCAUUGUCACACCACAGACUUUAUCCGAUAAGACACAACCGUAGGAUGACACACAAACAUUUGUGGAAGAGACACAGGCGCACGGCGUAAAUAAGACCAUUUUAGUUUUGUAGGGAAAAGUAACUCAAAUCGUGUACGCAGUCCUACAGUCGGAAAAAGAGUGCAAAAAAGGCUUGCAAGAAAAAAAAAAAGGGAGAAGCUACAUGUAUAUGUCAAUCGCAUGCUGAAUGCACUCACUGGAGGGAAUGCCAUACCUGCCACAAAUGAGUUGGGCUUGCAGAUAAGGCGAUUGUGCCCCCUUAAGGGAGUAAAGUCAUGGAAGAAAAUUGAUCAGAGUAUCAAAGAUGUUGUAGUACAGGACACGCUUGAAAUUGGUGAGGAUUUCCAUACUGAUCAACAAGCUCAAGAGAUCGUUGAUACGAAGGCGUAUCUCUUGUACAAGGACUGGAGGUACACCCUAAAGCAACACUACGAAAAACUUGUAGAAAAGGGUGUUGAUGACCCAUAUAGUCAUCCACUUAAAGGAGUUUUCUUGGAUGAUUGAAAACACGUGAUUGAUGUGGCUUGGAAGAAUGAAUCUCAUUUGAAAUGCUCUAAAGCUGGUAAGGCAAACCGGAGUUUUCUACCAUACAAUCACACCAGUGGAUCUCGCUCAUUUUCAAUAGUAAUGUCGCUCAUGACAGAUGAAAAUUGGGAGUUGGAUUUUCUGGAAUUUUAUUCAAAAUCACACAAAUCGAAGAAAACAAACGAAUGGAUUGAUCCCAAAUGUGGUGAGCUACAUGAUGCGAUGGUGAAUCUACAAGCGACAACCACGGAUGCAGGGAUCCCAUUGGCACAUGAAGAACUCUCACGGCAAGUGCUUGGACAGAGAAAGAAUUACUUAUGUGGAUUUGGGAUAGGCCCACGACCCUAUUCACCAUCUGAUAUUGCGGCACGAUCUCGUGACAAACAAAUGGAGGCAAUGCGAUCUGAGAUUGAUGUUCUUCAAGAAAAUUUAAUGAAAGAGAAAGAAGUGCGCUAGAGAGAUCGUAAAAAGAUGACGAGAGAGAGAGGAGUUGAUGAAAAAAGUGGAAGAAGAAAAAAAAGCAAGGGAGGCGCAACAAGAACAACUAAAUCAUUUGAACUUUGUGGUUUUACGACUAUCAACACUGUAUGAGGGUUCAGACGGGCAUCGUCGUAUUUGAUGACUUUGUUGCGUGGACUUCCAGAGAUAUGUUGGUAUAUAGAGAAGAAAUUGUACUUUUGUAUAGAAGUAAUAUA